rnacentral:rRNA from 1 species
ACAGCAGUAGCCGCGGUAAUACGGAGGGUGCAAGCGUUACUCGGAAUCACUGGGCGUAAAGGACGCGUAGGCGGGUUAUCAAGUCUCUUGUGAAAUCUAACGGCUUAACCGUUAAACUGCUUGGGAAACUGAUAAUCUAGAGUAAGGGAGAGGCAGAUGGAAUUCUUGGUGUAGGGGUAAAAUCCGUAGAGAUCAAGAAGAAUACCCAUUGCGAAAGCGAUCUGCUGGAACUUAACUGACGCUAAUGCGUGAAAGCGUGGGGAGCAAACAGGAUUAGAUACCCCCGUAGUCCCUGUCUCUUAUAA